rnacentral:misc_RNA from 1 species
GACUGCGGAGGAUCAUUAAUGAAUUGUAAUUGGAGUUGAUGCUGGCAGUGGCUGCAUGUGCUCGCUCCUAACAAUCUUCAUCCAAACACCUGUGCACAUUUAGAGAGGGUCUCCGAGUNCUCCUUGGAGUCCCUUCCUCUCAUUAUACACUAGUUUUUAAUAUUGAACGUGAUUGUGCCGUGAGGCCUUAAUAUUAAUACAACUUUUAACAACGGAUCUCUUGGCUCUCGCAUCGAUGAAGAACGCAGCGAAAUGCGAUAAGUAAUGUGAAUUGCAGAAUUCAGUGAAUCAUCGAAUUUUUGAACGCACCUUGCGCUCCCUGGUAUUCCGGGGAGCACGCCUGUUCGAGUGUCGUAAAAUUCUCAAACUGGGAUGCUUUUUU